CUGCAAUCAAGCUCUCCCAAUAAACGUGUGCAGAAGGAUCCUGUUGCAGCGUCGUUACUGCUGGCCAGUCCGGGCCUGCAAGACCUAGCACCAUAAAAAUGCUGGAUUGAGAACCGCUGGCUUGGACCUAUCCUCACCUGCACGAAACACAAAUGUAUGUGCUUACUGAGAGAGGCCUGGGCACAGGGACCCUCUUGUCAUGGCCUCUUUCAGGGGAUGGCAAUGUUCCAGCUGCUACCUGGUAACUAAACCCAGGAAAAGUCCCUUAGCAGCCAUCCCAGUUCCCGUGGAAAAACUGGAGGGGAUGCUGAGCAGCUAUGAAGCUGUGGAGACCAGGGCUCACCAUCCAGCUGGUGAAACAACCGUCUCUAACGUGCAGGAGGAAGAUAAAACCUUCUGCUUUGCUGCAUGCACGGUACAGAAAGAAGUCAGCAGCUCAAGUAUCAAAUCAUGCCCAUAAUAGGUCAUUUACACAAAUCAUAAAAUGAUAUUAUAGAACGUUGCUAUGAGCAAAAUACAUGCACCGAUAUAGGGAGGAAUUUCUCCCUUGUUAAUUCUUAUAUUUUGUUUGUAUUUAAUACACCAUUAAGAUCUGAA